rnacentral:lncRNA from 1 species
GCAAAACGACGUCGUUUUUCAGGGGCUAUAUAAGCCAAAUCUUAGCCCAAAAAUCAUUUUAACAUUCGGUUUUAAAAAAAAUAUAAACGAAAUCCUCUGAAAGAGGAUUCGAGGGCUGAUUCCGGUGCUGUUGAACCUCCGUUCAGGAGUUUUCUCACGCGCUCACUCGCCACCACGCACGGUGGUCGGAGGGUCAAAACCUUCCCGCUUUUCAGCGAAAGUCAGGUAAUCUCUUUUCCUUUUCACUAUUUGUAAUAUAUGUUAAAAUAUUCAGCUUUGUAUUAGAUUGGCUACUGGUAUUGUGAGUCGAUCUUACUGUACUCUGUUGAAUUUGUUUGUAUAUUUCUCUCUUCGUAAAUCGUGUGUAUAUUAUUGUCUUUGUAAAAAUCGGGAUCCCUUUUACAAUGAAGGUAUUCGGGCUUUAUAGCCACUGUUUACAGUGUAUUUACAUCUUUAUUUUAUUUCCUUGCCAUAUUUGUUGGUUCUGCUCCCUCUUAUUUCCUUUUACAGGCGAUCGAAGAGAAGAAAGGGCACUGAUCUCGGCGUCGAUUUGCGUCUCAACAAGAUACGGGGCCUGGAAUCACGGCACCGAUGAAGGGUAGCUGAAAUGACGCAAGGUGAAACGGCGUGAUUGAAGAAAUGUUGAUAGGGGCAUGAUCGAUGGUGGCCUUGAUUUGGAAGCUGGAUAGAUGCUCCCUGAAUCUUCUAGAAGCAGUGACGGCUCAAGGAGGAAAAGGCAGAAACCGUAGAGUUUCCUGCCUUAAUGUAAUAGGUUGGGCCAAUUGGGCCACUUUAGUUCUGGGCUAGGCAGGGUGUAAUGGGUACCGGGUAAUUUAGCUGGGUUUUGGGUUUGGAUUUAGGCUAGUUGGGUUUUAACUUUUGGGCUGUAAAAGGAUUGUUUAAUAAAUAAACAUUUAUUUUUUUUUGUUUUCAAUUUUAAAGCCUGAGCAAUUUUUGGUUUUUACAGAGCAUUUAAUAAUUUGUACCUAUAUUCUUCAAAAAAAAAUUAUACCAAAAUGAUAUGAUAAAAUUUGUACAAAUGAUCAUCAAAAUUUAGUGUAACUAAUUAAUAUAAUUGGGAACUGUGAUGCAGUUAAUAAUAAUCUUUCUAAACUUCAUUUAAUACAUAAUUUAUUCAAGCAAAAUUGACAACUUAACUUUUUGCAUGUCUUGCAAGAGCAUAAUAGACUAACGGAUUGCAUGGCCACUUGUUCCUAGUUAUCUUAACAGGUUAUCAGCUUUUGAAGAUCUAACUAACCAUGCUCAAUCUUUUUUUGAAAAAAAAAUUUAUCGAGCAACGAUUAAUAUAGAUUCUCAUCACCCUUAUUGUAGCUAAUUCCUUGAAGUUGUUUCUUUUAAAAAAAAUCACAAAAUGUAGAAAUAACUAUUAAUAAACUUUAUAGGAAAACAAAUCAUCUGUAUAAAUAUUUAUCAAAGACAUUGCUAGAAAGCAAAGCUUAUGUUUUUUUUAGUCAAAUUAACGACUGUCUCUUCAUCAAACUAGUUCCAUAUCCCUUAAUAACUUCAUUUUGAUCUUAUUUUUAACUUUGUAACAAGCUCUUUAAGAUGAAGCCUCUCGUUUGGUAGCUCUACACAACAUUCUAAGCCAAGUUGCAAAAUGGAUAAAGCACAGUUAUUGACUUUUAAAUGUUCCCUUCCAAUGGUGCUCAACAACUUAGCAAGUGUUCUCUUCCACUGCUUAUUACUUUGACUAAAUUUCUGUGACGAGUGUUGCAGAGAACAUCACAUUCAACAUCAAAGAUCUUAAAAGCUCCUUCUAACUCUAACUUAAAGAACUUUACCGCAAUGAUCGUCCCAUCCGGGAGAGUCCCUUGGAAUACUGGACCAUAACUUCCAUUACUAAGCAACCUACUAUCAUUGAAUCCAUCAGUAGCUUGCCAAAGCUCGUGGUAUGAAAACCGUCUCCACGUUCCUAAAGUUAUCAUUUCUUAUUGAGUUGGCAAUUUGUCUUUCCUCCUCUUAUUUUGUACGAUAAUGAUUAUCAGAGCAACAAUCAAAAUUGUGGAGGCAAUUGGCAGAGCUACAUAUAUUAUGAGCUUCAGCUUAGUUUUUGCCUUGGAAUUUCUAAGAGGUCUAGUUUUGCAGUUUGGAACAUGAAGUCGAGUUGCACCACACAAGGCUUCACUACCCUUAAAUGAUUCGGUUGUGUAGUUUCCAAAUAAUCGUCCUUCAGGAAUUUCUCCUUCAAGUCUAUUAAAAGAGACAUUGAAAUAUUUGAGAUAACGAAAUUUUUCUAAGGAUUUGGGAAUCUCUCCAGAUAGAUUAUUUCUUGACAAGUCCAAGAAUUCCAAACUCAACAAUUCAUCAAAAGACUCAAGAGUAGAACCCAUGAUUCUAUUAUUGGAUAAGGAAAAAUGAGUAAGGUCCUUGAGAUCUGAAACUCUAGUUGGGAUAUCACCUGAGAACUGAUUAUUUGACAAAUCCGAACUAGUCAAAACUUUCCAUUUUCCAAUGUCAAUUGGCAGUGGACCACUCAGAGAAUUUGAAGAUAAUUAUAGGCUGAGGAGAUAGUUAAGCCUUGUUAACGUGGAAGGUAUUGAGGAGGAAAAUAUUGGCAAAUAUCCAUACUUUGAAAAGUCAAAGAUAUAGAUGUUAGAAAGUUGGAACCAAAAAUAAAAGUAUUUGUGGCACCAAAAUUUGGUUUGAAAUUUGGCAUGGGAUAAUUGUAAUUUUGGUCCCUAAUUGUAUAGGGAUUUUUGCAAGUUGAUCCCUAAACUUCAACUAUAAAUAGGCCUAACCAUUUCUCAUUUUCUUCAUCUCAUAUUUGUUAUUCUCUACCUAAAGCAUUAUUCUCUCUCCCUAUUUGUAAAUUUUCACUUGUAUUUUGGAGUGAAAUAUAUUUGGUAAUGCCCGAGGACGUAGGCAAAAUUUGCUGAACCUCGUUAAAAUUCUGGUGUUCUUUAUUGUUUAUUUUUGCAUAAUUUUGUGAGUGUGAUUGUAGUGAUUUAUUGUACUAUUAAAUUACGAUAGAGGGAUAUUCUGGCUAGGAAAGACCUGAUACUUAAGUGAUCCUCGUGAUCCACCUCUCUUUCCUGGGAAUUGAACUUAGUGUGAUUUUUCAGUACAAUAAUUUUACUCUUUUACACGCUUCUGGGCAACAAUUAGUAUUAGAGCUAGAUUCGUACUUGGGGAAUACGACCGUUUACGAUACUAUUCACGUAUACGGGAUUGUUUAAUAUACAGUAGUUAGGAUUGAGGAGAAAAAUGGCAGAGACAUCGUCAUCAGCAAGGACUACUGUGACCAAUACAAAAUUUGAAGUAGAGAUAUUUGACGGUACCAAAUAUUUUGGUAUGUAGAAAUGUGAGAUCCUGGAUGUCUUAUGUCAGCAAGAGCUAGAUAUAGCCCUUGAAGAAAAACCUGACAAGAUGGAUGACAAGGAGUGGGCCAAGAUUAAUAGACAGGCGUGUGGUACAAUCGGCCUAUGUUUGGCCAAAGAGCAGAAGUACUCUGUCAUGAGGGAGACAUCAGCGAAGAAGUUAUGGGAUACAUACACUGGAAGAAAAGUUUCUAAUGAAAAGUCUUAAAAAUAGGCUUUAUAUGAAAAAGAAACUUUUUCGAUUAACGUAUGCUCCCGGUAUGUCGAUGAAUGACCAUGUGAACUCAUUUAAUAAAAUUUUAGCAGACUUGCAAAUUUUGGUUGAGAAAUUUGAAUAUGAAGACAAGGAAUUAUUGUUGUUGAAUUCCCUUCCUGAUGAAUAUGAUUGUAGAAGCCCAAAUUGUCGGGCCCGAUUACAUCAAAACCCAACCAAACCUCUAAAUCCACUAAAACCCUUAACCCAUGGCCCAUUUACAUCUACCCAAACCCAUUACAAAACCCAAACAUUAAACCCAUUCAAAAGCCCAUUAAGCCCAAAAAAAAACCUAACCUAAAAAAAAAACCUAACCCCCCCAAAAAAAACCAAGAAACCCUAGCCACCUAGCCACUUUCCCACUUGCCCCAUUUUCCUCCCAUUUUUUAUAUCCAUUGUCUGCUACCAUCACCUACAAAAUAGAAAAAGAAAUAAUAGAAAAUCAUGUAAAAGAUGGCUAUAAAAAGCCAUUCAAAAAUCAUGUAAAUGGGGUUUUUUUGAGAAGAUUGAAAAAAAAAGACAAACACAAAAAUCCCUCCAAAUUUUGAAUACAAAAGAAAAUCAAUAAAAAGGUUUGCAUCUUUUUCUUUUCUUUUCUUUCGAAUCUUUUUUCUUUCUUUCUUUUUAUAUACAUAUACAUAUAUAUAUUAUUAAAAAAACAAUUUUUUUUACCUUUUUCGGCCACCGUGGACGGUGGCCGGCGGCGGCUACCGACGGCGGUCCGGUGACCGGAUGGUGACCAGUCUUGUGGCCAGAAAUCACCUCACCCCUCUCCCUCUCUCUUUUUUUUCCUUUUCAAGUGCAAGAAUGAAUUUUUUUUGAAGAAAAAAGGGUUUUUUAUAGCCCCCCAAAACGACGUCAUUUAGGGGUUGGCCAUUAAACCCCAAAACGAUGUCGUUUUGACUUGGACCGGUUCGACCCGACCCGACCCGCCUAGGAUCCGCAUGUUUUUUUAAAGGAAGGGCUAAUUCGCUUUUAGCCCUUCCACUCUUUAUUGCUUUGCAAUUAAGUCAUUAUUCGUUUUUUUAAUUUGGCCCCAAAAUUUGUCGCGAUUUUCAAUUUAGUCCCUGUUGAUGUGCUGAGUUUUGAUGGGGAAGGAAUAUUUUCUGUUUUGGCCCCCCACUGUUUCCGCGCGUGUUCAAUAUAGUCCUUUCCUUUUAUUUUUAUUUCAAUCUUGCCCCAAAUAUUUUGUUUUUAGUUCAAUUUAAUCCUUUUUUAGUUAUUUUACUAUUGAAAUUAAUUAUUUUAGUAUUAUUAUUAUAUUUUAUUUACUUAUGUGGUGUGUUAAUAAUUUUUAUCAUUUCUAAUACGUAUAUAUAUAUUAUAUGUAUUUUAUAUAUAUUAUGUAUAUAUUUUUUUAUUGCAAUUAGUUAUAUAUUUCUUAUAUUAUUCCAUGUAUGUAUUUUAUAUCAUUUUAUGUAUAUAUUCUUAAAUAUUAUUAUAUAUACAUAUAUAUAUGUAUAUAUUUUUAAAAUACCAUAUUGUGUAUAUAUUAUUAUUACUAAUUUUUACUAUUGCUAGUAUUAUUAUAAUUAUUAUUACAUUAGUGUAUAUUUUAUGUACACAUAUAUAUAUUUUGUACAUAUCAUUAUUUUAUAUUAUUGUUGUAAAUUUUUUUAUGUAUAUAUUUUUUAUGUACGUUUCCUAAUAUUUUCUUUUAUUGUAGAUAUUAUUCUUAUUAUUACAUACUUUUAUUAUAUGCACAUAUAUAUAUGUAUUUUUAUGUACAUAUUAUUAUUUUAUAUUAUUAUUACCAAAUAUAUCAUUUUUCCUAUUUUAUUAUUAGUACAUGAUUUGUUUUUAUUUUCUUUUUUUUUUGUAAAUAUCAUUGUUAUUGUUAUUCUAAUAUUCUAGUAUUCCAUGUUAAUAUUUUUCAUUAAUGAUAUCAUUUUUUGCGUCGUUUAUCUAUUUUUAAUUUCUCACUUUAGGAAUAUUUUUUCUCAUGUUUUAAUUAAUUUCAAUAAAUAAGGCAAUGUUUCGCAUUUUGGAACAUCGAAGAAUUGUGCCCUAACUUACGGGGUUUCGGUUCUCUCGUUGGUUUUAAAUAGCUAAAUAUCCUUUUGAGUUUUGAAAUACACGGAUUUCUCCUAACUUACGGGAUGUGAUACUCCGACAUCUCGAGAUAAGGAAAUCUUUAAACAAAUCGAUUUAAGCCAAUUCAAGAAUUUUAAAAUUAGUGUUAAUAGAAAAGAUCGUAUUUCAAGUCCCUUCCCGAUUUUUAAUUUUCGACAUUAAGACACUAACUAAUCAAUUCGGUACCAAUUUUUUGGGCGUGUCGAGGGUGCUAAUCCUUCCUCGCACGUAACCGACUCCCGAACUCAUUCUCUCAAGUUUCGUAGACCAAAGGCCCUGUUUUAGUAAACUAAAAUUGAUUUAUUAAAACAAAGGUGAUCCGAUCACACCUGAUAAAAGAUUGGUGGCGACUCCCGUUUUAAUUUUCACUUUCAAACAAAGUCGAUCCCCGUUUUCAAAAGAAUGGUUUCGACAGCUUGGCGACUCCGCUGGGGAGCUCGAGAGUCGAGCCUUAAAUUGAUUAUUUUUUGUCUUUUGUCAAAAAUUGAAAAUUGAUUUUAAAUUUACUGCAUUGCAUGUUGUCUGUUAUUUUCACGACUCUCUUCAUAAUAUGCUUGCUUUAAGUGGUUUAAUUCUUUGAGGUAUCUUUGCAUAUCGCAUCGCAUUAUUGGUCAAUUUCACCCUCUUAAGUGGAAGUGAAAAACUACUCCUUCGUGAGGUCUUCACUCCGUAUAGGAUAGUGGAUCGCUUUCGGGAUACAUCCGUACCUGCGUCUUCGUGAGGUUUUCACCUCCGUAUAGCCGUAGGGAAAUGUAUUCCCCUGAAUCGAACUCGGUCUGUAUGAACCUAUAAUGGGUGAGGAUCGAGGAAUCUACUGGUUCAGGUACCUUUACUUUAGAACCAAACUAUAUGUAAUGAGCCCUAGGAGCCUACCCUAGGUAGAACCACACCAAACCCUAGUGGUUACCUGAUUAGGUGCUUAUUUACUCACUAUUUGCUUUGAAUUCUAUUCUUUGUAUAUAAUUCUAACUUGUUGUAUUGUGAUCAUUUUCGCAUGACAUUUCAUCAUAAAAGGGUGUUGAUUUACGUUCGGUUACUAAUUAGAAGAGUUUAGCAUGGAAAAAGGAUUUCUUGAUAGAAUGGAGGAUAAUGUGGCCGUCCGAGUGUGGUCUGAGAGAAUGUAACAGGAGAAAGGAGAUAGUUUGACCGAGGGAUAUGAAUCGGAGUUGUAGGAUUUCACUCACAUCAGUGUGACUCAAAACGACCUGCAAGAGUUAAGGGAUAUACGGAAUAGUUGGAAUGGCGAAGUCAAACAACUCUUUUACUGUAACUACGGUGACCUACCCUAUUUGCUAGAUGUAAAGGUGGACAAGUACUUGUUCUGGGCCCUCGCACAAUUUUAGAACCCCGCUUACAGUUGCUUCACUUUUGGAGGAGUUGAUUUAGUACCUACGGUGGAGGAAUACAUGGCGUUACUUAAUUGCCCGAAGAUUCAGGCCGAUAGGGCCUAUUCAAGACCUGUUAAUGUCCCUCUCUUUUUGAAGAAAUUGAUGAAUAUCACGGGGAUGAGCGAGCAAUGGGUUGCGGCCCGCAUCAAGCAAAAAGGGGAUAGUAAAUGUAUUCCUUGGAGGAAUUUGAGGGAUUUUAUUCUUGCGCACCCGGAUUCGAAGAAAAGGGUUGAUGUUUUUGCCUUAAGUCUCUACGGUUUGAUCGUCUUUCCUAAAGCACUUGGACACAUAGAUGAAGCCGUCUCAGAUUUAUUCGAUCGACUUGAUAAUGGUACCACACCCGUCCCGGCAAUCCUAGCAGAAACUUUCCGAUCCUUGAAUACAUGCCGGAGAGCGGGCGAGGGAAGAUUUAUUGGUUGCGCACAGCUUCUUUUGGCUUGGUUCCACAGUCAUUUUAAGAAGGUGGAGAAGGUCUCCUAUCGGGUAUUCUCUAAGGAUUAUUCCUCAUUAAGAGAAUUAGUGGCCAGAUCGAGGCGGGACGACAUCUCCGAAGGGAGGUGGAUAACUAUUCUCUGAAAUUUACGGGCCGAAGACGUUGAAUGGAGGGCUCCGUGGUUGAUUCUUGACGAGAUCUUAUAUAGGUGCGGUGAUUUUGACUGGGUCCCUCUGGCUGGAAUAUGGGGAGCCAUUGGAUACACUCCACUGAUGGUGUUAAGGCAGUAUCGAUCAAGGCAGUUUAUACCGGUGACACAAGGGUUGGCACAAUGUGAGUUCCCCUAUAAAGACAACAAUUAUAAAAAGAGGGUUCACGAGAUAUCAGAUGCAUGGAACCAAACUCGAAGAAUGAAGGGAUUCACUGUAGGCCUGAUGACGACCCCUGAGUAUGAAUGGUGGUGGGGUAGGAGAGUCAAUGACAACAUCCCUAGGCAGAAUCAAGGGAACACACAACCUAUAGAGGAGUAUUUACGGGUCAUCCCAUCCGAGUUAGAGAUCAUUAAGCAAGAUUUUGAGAAAAGAAACUCGGAGUUGGGGAAGAAGAUAGAGCAGCUAGAAGAAGAUAAAAUGAAGUUGGGGUUAGACGUCGAUAUCCACAAGCUAGAGGCCGAGAAGUUAAGGAAAGGAAAGAACAAGGUCGAGGAAGAUUUAGAUAGUCUGAAAAUCGAUUACAAGAAGCUUCGUAUAACGAUAAAAACUGUCGGAUUAGGUAAAACGUCAAAGCAAUGGCGUCAAGAGAUUAAAGAGGAAAAGACUAGAGCCGACCAUUGGGAGAAAAGAUUUCAAGAUGCCCGAGUAUGAGAGGACACUCUGAAGAAGAGUUUGUUAGAAACCCAAAAUGAAAAGGAGAAGUUACGAGCUCGGGUGGCUAAAUUGAAAAGAUUACUUCAGCAACAUCGUAGCCAUAUUAGAGAAAAUAGAAGAACUCGAGACCGCACUGCGAGAUAGAAAAAUUCGAGUGGAACUUCUUGAGACAAACAACGACCAUUACAGAGAACAGCUUCACCACUCUCAAAACCAGAUUAGAGAUAGAGACUAUGUCAUGGGCGAAGCUAUAGCUCAGGUUCGGGAGAUAGCUGAUCACUUGCAAACCUUGGCAGUUCAGGCUGAUAUAUUGAGCUUAAAGUACGAGUCAGAAUCAGACUGAGGCCGAAGCUUAGCUUGGCUUCUUAGGAAAGUUAAAACUUUGGGCAUUAGGGCGAAGUCGUAUAUGUAAUUAUCCGUUCUAUGUAAAGAAAUUUUUCUUCUAGUGAAGUUCUUCUAAUGAAAUUGAAUUAAAAUCAACACCAAUUUCUUGCAUUUCUUUCAUGACUAACAUUCAUUUGACAUUUAUGCAUUCAUUCAUUCAUUGCAUAUCCCAUACUCGUUCGCUGAGGUUAAAACAUACAAUUCGUAGUUGUAAUACCACAAGACUGGAACCACGUCAUUCGUAUAGAACGCGCCGACAAGCUAGAGUAAUGGAGGCCGAAUUCAAUGAAAGGAUUGAAAGGAUGGAAAGAAUUCGAAGGGAAUUACAUGAGCAACUGGCCAAAUCGCAGCAAGAGACAAGAGACUUAAUGGUGAGAUCCCGAGAAGAAUCGCUCAAACAAAAGGAUCAAAUGGCCAAGAUAAUGGAAAUGAUGUCAGCUUUAGUUAAGGGAAAGGGACCUAUGAACCCUGACAUUGUGGAACCACGGUCAAGGGGUAAUCUCGAUCAAGAUCCACCCCAUCCGCCAGGAUUUACUCCACCACAUGCCCACGCAAUACAAAGAGGAUACACUCAAUGGGAACCUACAGGCCCGGAGCAACGACCGGCACCACUUGUUAACUUGGGACAAGGAAUGUUCGUGUCGAACCCAGGGGCUAGUCCUGCUGAUCCACUAGUUCCAGAUUUGGACGACCCAGCGGAGAUAGCUAGGUUGAAAUUAGAUAAUCAUGACGCAAAAUGAUAAGUAUAGGAGCCUUGAAGAAAAACUUAAAGCAAUAGAGGGUACUGAAGCCUUUUCUGCAUUGAAUGCCAAAGAGCUCAGUUUGGUGCCUGAUCUGGUUCUGCCUCCGAAAUUUAAAGUACCAGAUUUCGAAAAAUACGAUGGCACGAGAUGUCCAAAGGCACAUCUUGUCAUGUUUUGCCGAAAAAUGACUGGUUACGUGAAUGAAGACAAGCUACUCAUACAUUGUUUUCAGGAUAGUCUAGUAGGAUCGGCUCUUCGGUGGUAUAACCAGCUUACUAGGGAAAAGAUCCGAUCUUGGAAGGACUUGGCGUCAACCUUCUGUGAGUAGUACAAGCAUUUGUCGAAUAUGGUGCCUGAUCGAAUGACCCUACAAAUGAUGAAAAAGAAACCAGCAGAAACCUUUAGACAGUAUACGCAAAGAUGGAGAGAUAUCUCGGCCCAAGUGGAGCCUCCACUGACUAAGACUGAGAUAACAAUCCUUUUCAUCAAUACUCUGAGAGCACCAUUCUAUGACAAGCUGGUAGGAAGUGCUACAAAGGAUUUUUCGAAUAUCGUAAUAUCCGGAGAACUUAUAGAGAAUGCCAUCAAAAGUGAGAAGAUAGAAGGUUUAGAAAGUUCAAAAAGGGUAGCGCCCAUGAAGAAGAAAGAACCAGAAGCCCAUAUGGUAGGAAUGAGAAGCCGUUAUACCCCUAAUCCAUAUCCAAACCAACCCCGACCUUGAAAUUAUCCUCCUCCGAAUUUCUAUUAUCCUUCUCAAACCCCUUACUACCAAGCAUCACCUCCUUUCUACCCUGUAUACGCCAUGAAUAACCAAAGGCCCGUCACUACAUUCCCACAAAACACUCUACCCGCUCAAAGCCAACCCAGAAAUGAACCAAGACCAAUAAGGCCCGAUCCCGAGAGACAGCAAUUCACCCUUAUUCCUGUGUUGUAUGGGGAAUUGUACCCAAAACUUCUGGAGAAGCAAUUAAUAUCUCCCCAUUACAUGGCACCCCUUAAACCUCCAUACCCGAAAUGGUACGAUCCAAAUGCUAGUUGUUCAUACCAUGCUGGGAACCAAGGGCACUCUACGGAAAACUGCCUGGCCUUCAAAAGGAGAGUUCAAGGACUCAUUGAUGCGGGUAUUCUACGAUUUGAUGGCACUGGCGGUACAUCCGGGAACCCAUUACCAAACUACACCGAAGGAAAUGUGAGUGCAGUGGGAGAGGAGGACAAACGACAAAGUAGAAGAUGGGUUUCUGAAAUAAGAACACCUCUGCAGAAAAUAUAGGAGGUGCUAGUUGAAAAGGGUUUGCUUUGUCAUCUUAACAGAGUAUUCGAGGGAAGGAAUACAAAAGAUCAAAGUUUUUGUGAAUUCCAUGGUAUUGAGAGGCACGACAUUCAAUCCUGCGAAGAGUUCAGGAGAUUACUGCAAAAUAUGAUAGACAAUAAGGAGAUUGGGAUUUUUUAUAAAGGCGAAGAAGCUGAUAGAGGAGAAAUAUGCGCCUCUGACCAUCAAUCGUUAGGUUUCCUGUAUAGCGUCGACCGACUGUUAAUAAUUUAUUAUGAUGCGAAGAAGGAACCGGUGAAACCAAAAGUGAUAAUCGAGGUACCAUCUCUUUUCCCCUACAAGGACAAUUAAGCAGUACCAUGGAAAUAUGACGUUAAUCUCGUCACACCUGAAGAUGAAAAACCCAAAGCCAUGACUGGAAGCAUUGGGGAAGUAGGUCAUUUCACUCGUAGUGGAAGAUGUUAUUCGAAAGAGGUCGAAUCAGUAAAGAAAAACAGUGACUUGAAACAGAAAGGAAAAGCACCGAUACAUGUGACCGAAGAUGAGUAUGAAACUGUGCCUGAACAAGAAGCUAAAAAGCCUGUGGACGAGGAGGAAGCACAGGAAUUCUUAAAAUUUAUCAAGCACAGUGAGUAAAACGUGGUAGAAUAAUUGAGUAAGCAGCUAGCGUGAAUCUCGGUAUUAUCUCUGCUGUUGAAUUCAGAACCACACCGGAAUGCUCUGCUGAAAGUGUUAAAUCAAGCUUAUGUGGCAAACAAUGUAUCCGUUGAAAAACUAGAUAGGUGGGUGAACAACUUGAAUACGGAUAAUUUCAUUUCUUUUAAUGAUGAUGAAAUACCGCCCAAUGGUAGAGGCUCAGUGAAAGCAUUGCAUAUCAUAACCCGUUGUAAGGGCUAUAUAAUACCGAACGUGCUCAUCGAAAUGGAUCGGCACUCAAUGUCAUGCCUUUGGCCACACUUUCCAGGAUUCCAAUGGAUUUUUCCUAUCUAAGGCCCUGCCAUUCUACAGUAAGUGCAUUCGAUGGAACAAAACGAGAAGUUAUGAGAAAAAUCGAGAUCCCUCUAGAAGUGGGUCCCUACAUAUACGAUGUUGAGUUUCAAGUCAUGGACAUUACACCAUCAUACAAUUGUCUCUUGGGAAGACCUUGGAUCCAUUCUGCUGGAGCAGUCCCAUGAUCCCUCCAUCAAAAAGUAAAGUUCAUCAUGGAUGGUUGUUUGGUCACUGUCGAGGGAGAAGAAAACAUUAUCUCAUCUAUCUCUGCUGAUGCGCCAUAUCUUGAAUUAAGCAAAGACGCAGUGGAAUGUUCCUUCUGAUCCAUUGAAUUUGUCAAUGCCACUUUUGUCGCUGAGGGAAAUAGAAUUUCGGUGCCAAAACUGUCGAAAAAUACCAGAAUGGGUGUCAAGUUGACUGUAGGAAGGGAAGCUCGAGCGAGAAUAGGUUUAGGGAGAUAUCUGCAAGGAAUAGUCAGGGCUCUAAAACCAGUGCACCACAAGGCCCGAUACGGUUUAGGGUUCCAGCCAGACAUGCGUCAAAGAAGAAGAUAGUGGAAGAAAGAUCAGGAAAGAAGGAUCGCGAGAACCUUAGGCCGAGAACUAGAAUGGGAGCCUAUGGAAUUCCCUCCUUUGUCAAGAAAAUUUAUGUCUGCGGGAAUGAUAUACCCGAGGCAGGACAAGGCACAAUGUUAAUGAUAAAAAAUAGUUUUCAGAACAUCAGUAUAAAUGUCAUUAACAAAGGAGCUGACACAAGUAAAGAUGUCUUAAGGAUACGCCUUUGUCCCCCAGGUUUCAUGUUGAACAAUUGGACUGCCGAGUACCUUCUUGAAGUUUAUAAGUCUUCUGAGUAAAGCUCAAACAUUAACAUGCUAUUGUGUCCUAAGAUAUAAUAAAAUUCUUUUGUAAGAGUUUGCAUUCGCUCUUUAUCAUUCAAAUGAAUAUCAAUGAAGAUGCAUUUUGUCAUGAUCUUUCGUAUUAUCACUAAUUUCAUAAUCAUUUUCUCAUUUCAUAGCCUGUCCUCACAUUUGCCUCAUGCCAUGCCAUAACAUUUUGUUUGUUGGUUCCAAUACUUGGAUGCCCUUCUAUAGUCUCCUUUUUCAUUCAACUUUUAGGUGCUCAGAUGUCAACAGCAUGAACAAACCCGUUACGAGUCCUGAAAUCGAUUUUGAGAAGGCUAUUUGUUUAGGAGAAUUCGAAGCCGAAGAAAAUGCUGAAGACUAUGUCUCGUCUCCUGACUUGCUAAGAAUGGUGGAACAAGAGGAUAAACAGAUUUUGCCUCAUCAAGAAUCUGUUGAAACAAUAAAUUUGGGAACUGAAGAAAUGAAGCAAGAAGUGAAGAUUGGGACCUCUAUUUCAGGGGGUACCAGGCAUAAUUUGAUUGCUUUGCUUCGCGAGUAUAAAGAUGUAUUCGCAUGGUCAUAUCAAGAAAUGCCAGGAUUGGAUGAAGAUGUAGUGGUUCAUAAGCUCCCGUUAAAACCAGAAUGCAAACCCACUCAGCAAAAGCUAAGACGGAUGAGACUUGAGAUGCUGUUGAAGAUAAAAGAAGAGGUCAAAAAGUAAUUCAAUGCGGGUUUCUUACAAGCUUCCAAAUAUCCAGAAUGGGUGGCUAACAUAGUCCCGGUGCCAAAGAAAGAUGGCAAAGUACGAAUGUGCGUGGAUUAUCGUGACCUGAAUCGAGCAAGUCCUAAAGAUAAUUUUCCCUUACCGCACAUUGAUACGUUGGUAGAUAACACAGCAAAACAUUCAUUAUUUUCUUUCAUAGAUGGAUUCUCGGGGUAUAAUCAGAUCAAAAUGGCCCCUGAGGAUAUGGAUAAAACUACCUUCAUAACAAUGUGGGGAACAUUCUGCUACAAGGUGAUGCCAUUUGGGCUAAAAAAUGCUGGGGCAACAUAUCAGAGGGCUAUGGUGACGUUAUUCCAUGACAUGAUGCAUAAAGAAAUAGAGGUCUAUGUCGACGAUAUGACCGCUAAGUCCUGAGGGGAAGAAGAACAUGUGGUGAACCUCAAGAAGUUGUUCGGAAGGCUGAGAACGUUUCAGCUAAAACUUAAUUCAGCCAAAUGUACGUUUGGGGCUACCUCAGGAAAGUUGCUAGGCUUCAUUAUCAGUGAAAGAGGUAUCGAGGUUGAUCCGGAUAAAAUAAAAUCCAUUCAAGAGUUACGACCUCCGCGCACGCAAAAAGAAGUCAGAGGAUUUUUAAGGAGGUUAAACUACAUCGCCCGAUUCAUCGCUCAACUUACCAACCAAUGCGACCCAAUCUUUCGGCUUCUUCGAAAAAAUAACCCGGGAGAAUGGAAUGAGGAAUGCCAGGUGGCCUUUGAUAAGAUAAAACAAUAUUUGUCUAGUCCUCCAGUGCUAUUACUGCCAACUCCGGGAAGACCAUUGAUAUUGUAUUUGACUGUGUUCGAAAAUUCAUUGGGUUGCGUACUAGUGCAACACGAUGAGUUAGGAAAGAAAGAAAAUGUGAUCUUCUACCUCAGUAAAAAGUUCACUGACUAUGAGGCAAAGUAUUUAUCCAUUGAAAAAUACUGUUGCGCUCUGGUUUGGGUAGCUCGGAGACUCAGGCAAUACAUGUUGUAUUAUACAACAUGGUUAAUUUCAAAGCUGGAUCCAAUAAAGUACAUGAUGGAAUCAUCGGCACUCUCAGGAAGAAUAGCACGAUGGCAGCUCCUCUUAUUGGAAUACAACAUUGCCUAUGUAAGUCAGAAGUCGAUAAAAGGGAGUCCAAUAGCUGAUUUUUUAGCUGCUCGAACGACAAAGAAAUAUGAGCCGUUGAGAUUUGAUUUCCCGGAUGAAGACUUGAUGUGCAUUGCAGAAAAAGAAUACGAGUUAUCAAAAAAGAAGUCAUGGAAGAUGAGCUUUGAUGGUGCAUCGAACGCAUUGGGGCAUGGGAUUGGAGCAGUCUUAGUAUUGCCAGAAGGGAACCAUUACCCACUCACUGCCAGGCUGAACGUUUUCUGUACCAAUAACAUAGCAGAAUAUGAGGCUUGUAUCAUGGGGCUUCGUGUAGCAGUUGGACGAAACAUCAAAACUUUAGAGGUAUACGGAGACUCAGCCUUGGUGAUAUACCAAAUUCGUGGAGAUUGGGAAGUGAUUCGAAACUGGUCAAAUACAGUGAUCUAGUGGCAGAGCUGAUUAAAGAAUUCGAAGAAAUAACUUUUAAUUACCUCCCAUGAGAAGAAAACCAAUUGGCUGAUGCCCUGGCCACUUUGGCUUUAAUGUUCAAAGCAAACAGAGAAACAAAAAUAAUGCCUCUUCAAAUGAGCAUAUAUGAAGUCCCUGCACAUUGUUUCAGCAUUGAAAAAGAGUCGGAUGGACGGCCAUGAUUCCAUGAUGUCUUAGAAUAUAUUAAGAAUCAAAAGCAUCCCGAACAAGCAAAUGAGAACGACAAAAGAACAAUCAAAAGAAUGGCAGCGGGAUUCGUUAUUGAUGGGGAUAUCCUGUACAAAAGAGGAAAAGAUCAGGUGCUCUUGAGAUGCGUAGAUGCUGUUGAAGCCAGAAAAAUAAUUGAAGAUGUCCACGAGGGAAUUUGUGGGACACAUGCCAAUGGUUUCACUAUGGUCAGGAAGAUUAUGAGACUCGGUUACUACUGGCUGACGAUGGAAAGCGACUGCAUUAGUUUUGCAAGAAAAUGCCACAAAUGUCAAAUUUAUGGCGAUAAGAUUCAUGAAGCCCCUUCGCCCCUUCAUGUCAUGACUUCUCCGUGGCCCUUUUCUAUGUGGGGCAUGGAUGUUAUAGGGCUAAUUUCCCCAAAAGCUUCUAAUGGACACCGGUUCAUUUUUGCGAUUAUUGAUUACUUCACAAAAUGGAUAGAAGCUGCUUCGUUUAUCAAUGAGACAAAGACUGCAGUUUGCAGGUUUUUGAAAAAGGAAAUCAUUUGUUGAUAUGGUUUGCCUGAGAGAAUCAUUUCAGAUAAUGCCUUGAAUCUGAACAACAAGAUGAUGAAGGAAGUGUGUGAGCAGUUUCAAAUAAAGCAUCAUAACUCGUCACCCUAUCGCCCGAAAAUGAACGGAGCUGUUGAAGCAGCGAACAAGAAUAUUAAGAAGAUUAUUGGGAAAAUGACUGAGACAUAUAAAGAUUGGCACGAGAAGCUACCAUUUGCUUUGUAUGCAUAUCGCACAUCUGUACGGACAUCUACGGGGGCAACUCCUUUCUCUCUGGUCUAUGGAAUAGAAGCUGUGCUACCUAUCGAAGUUGAGAUCCCCUCUUUACGAGUCUUAACGGAUUCGAAACUAGAGGAGGCAGAAUGGGUUCGAGCUUGAUAUGACCAGUUAAACCUCAUCGAAGAAAAACGUUUAAAGGCAAUUUGUCACGGACAGAUGUACCAGAAGAGAAUGAUCGUGGCCCAUGACAAGAAAAUACGGCCAAGAGAAUUCCACGAAGGAGAACUCGUGCUGAGAAAGAUUCUUCCAAUACAUAAGGACUUACGAGGAAAAUGGGCACCAAAUUGGGAAGGACCAUAUGUCGUAAAGAAGACAUUCUCGGGUGGAGCUUUGAUUCUCAUUGAGAUGGACGGGAAGGAGUUACCUAAUCCAGUGAAUUCAGAUGCUGUGAAGAAAUAUUAUGCCUAAAAAAAAAGAGGGGAUCAAGGUGAAAACCCAAAAACGGCAUCUUGAUUAACACAAAAGAUUAGGAUGAAAACCCGAAAGGGCAUUCUAAUAAAGCAAACCCAGGCUUAAAGAGCAAGGCAGUUGAAUGGUGGGUUAAACAGCGAAACUACAUCAUUUGAAGCAUUUUUCAGUAGCUCAAAAUCUUCUACGCAAGAAGCCAGGCUAGAAAAGAUUCUUGAUUAGAAACGUGGAAAAGUUCGUGUGUUGAAUAUCUAGAGCAUCUGUAUCCAUUGAAUGCGAUCUGUUUUCUCUUUAUGACACUUUCUCAUUAUCAUUGGUUAAUUUUCUUUGUUUGCCACGUUUGAAAUAAAUAAAUGUGAGGUAUCCCUUUGUCCCUUCCUGACCAUUUUCAUGCAUCUCAUUAUGUCGUUUAUUUUUAUGAUAAAUAGUGAAAUGACAUACUCUAAACAAAAGAAAUGUUAACCAUUACCUGGAUAAGAACUCGAUAAGUACAAGAGCCGCAAAGCAAGGACAAAGUUCAACCAGGGGCAAGAGAGCGAUAAUUGAGAAACGCAGAUUGUUCGUGAAGCCUGAGGACGGGUAUAGGGCCUAAAGAGAAAGUCAAGAGCUGAAGUAAUGAAUACAGGUCAUCGCAAAAAUCAUGACGAAGAAGGACAUACGACAAAUAUGCCUAAAGCUCAUAGCAUAAUCAUGUAGGCAUAAAAUCAUUCAAGACAAACAUGUGCAUAUCAUGAUAACAUCAUGCAUGAUAUAUACAGGUACUCCAGUAGAGCAAGAGGAUGUGAUGAUAGCUGUACUGAAUCAAAGGAAAAGACACCUGAGUUCCACCAGAUGACAGGUUUUGGUAUUUUGAUGUUGUUACUUCCGUUUUCAAAAAAAUCAACUCAUAUUGUAAGAGGUGAGUUGAACCUCAAGUCGUUGAGGUGUUUUCAAUUUAUUUUUCAAAAAUCAACUCAUAUUGCGAGAGGUGAGUUGAGCCUCAAGACAUGCUGAGGUAUUUUCAAUUUGUCUUUCAAAAAAAAAAUUCAACUCAUAUUGCGAGAAAUGAGUUGAGCCUCAAGACACGUUGAGGUAAUUUCAAUUUCUGUUUUCAAAAUUCAACUCAUAUUGCGAGAAAUGAGUUGAGCCUCAAGACAUGCUGAGGUAUUUUCAAUUUCUGUUUUUCAAAAAAAAAAAUCAACUCAUAUUGCGAGAGGUGAGUUGAGCCUCGGGACACGCUGAGGUAAUUUCAAUUUCUGUUUUCAAAAUUCAACUCAUAUUACGAGAAAUGAGUUGAGCCUCAAGACACGUUAAGGUAUUUUCAAUUUCUGUUUUCAAAAAUCAACUCUUAUUGCGAGAGGUGAGUUGAGCCUCGGUUCACAUGCUGAGGUAUUUUCAAUUUCUGUGUUUCAAAAAAAUUCAACUCAUAUUGUGAGAAAUGAGUUGAGCCUCAAGACACGUUUGAGGUAAUUUCAAUUUCUAUUUUCAAAAUUCAACUCAUAUUGUGAGAAAUGAGUUGAGCCUCAAGACACGUUGAGGUAAUUUCAAUUUCUAUUUUCAAAAUUCAACUUAUAUUGCGAGAAAUGAGUUGAGCCUCAAGACACGUUGAGGUAAUUUCAAUUUCUGUUUUCAAAAUUCAACUCAUAUUGCGAGAAAUGAGUUGAGCCUCAAGACAUGCUGAGGUAUUUUCAAUUUCUGUUUUUUUUUCAAAAAAAUCAACUCAUAUUGCGAGAGGUGAGUUGAGCCUCCGGACACGCUGAGGUAAUUUCAAUUUCUGUUGUCAAAAAAUCAACUCGUAUUGCGAGAGGUGAGUUGAGCCUCAGGUCACACGCCGAGGUAUUUUCAAUUUCCGUUUUUCAAUUUCUGCCUUUCAAAAAAAAAUCGACUCAUAUUGCGAGAGGUGAGUUGAGCCUUGGCUCACGCGUUGAGCUAUUUUCAAUUUCUGUCUUUCAAAAAAAUCAACUCAUAUUACGAUAGGUGAGUUGAGCUUCAGAUCACACACUGAGGUAUUUUUUCAAUUUAUAUUUUUCAAAAAAAUUAACUCAUAUUGCGAGAGGUGAGUUGAGUUUUUUAAUUUCUGUGAGAGGUGAGUUGAGCUUUUUAAUUUCUGCGAAAGGUGAGUUGAGCCUCGAGUCACAUGUCGAGGUAUUUUCAAAAUUUGCUUUUUAAGAUAAGUUUCAAAAAUCAACUCAUAUUGCGAGAGGAUCACAUGCCGAGUAGAGAAUAAAGAUUGAAGCUGAUUGAAGACGUCAGAUUCUGUCUCCUUAAAGUUGCAGUGGAGUUGAUCGAGGACAUCAGAUCUUGCCUUUCUGAAGUCGCAGAAGAAAAGACCACAAACCUUAUCUCACUGAAGCGAUAGAAGAGCAGAUUGAAGUUGUAGAUCUCACCUUUCUGAAGUUACAGUGAAGUAGAUUGAAGCCAUAAAUUUCAUAUCCUUAAAGUUACAUUGGAAUAGAUUGAAGCUACAAGGCGUAUAUCAUAAGAUGCAGUGGAGUGAACCAAAGCUACAAGAUGCGGUGGACUGAAAAGGGACUAACUAAACAAGAAGAGUUCCAAAGCAAGUCAAGACCUAGCAAGACCGGGCAAAUUUGGUCUUCCUUGAAAGUCUUUGCUCUAUUCCCGUUGCACGACAAUGAGCAAAGAGGGGCAGCUAUAGAAGCCCAAAUUGCCCGGGCCCGAUUACAUCAAAACCCAACCAAACCUCUAAACCCACUAAAACUCUUAACCCAUGACCCAUUUACAUCUACCCAAACCCAUUACAAAACCCAAAUAUUAAACCCAAUUCAAAAGCCCAUUAAGCCCCCCCCAAAAAACCUAACCCUCCAAAAAAAAACCAAGAAACCCUAGCCACCUAGCCACUUUCCCACUUGCCCCAUUUUCCUCCCAUUUUUGAUAUCCAUUGUCUGCCACCAUCACCUACAAAAUAGAAAAAGAAAUAAUAGAAAAUCAUGUAAAAGAUGGCUACAAAAAGCCAUUCAAAAAUCAUGUAAAGGGGGUUUUUUUGAGAAGAUUGAAAAAAAAAGACAAACACAAAAAUCCCUCCAAAUUUUGAAUACAAAAGAAAAUCAAUAAAAAGGUUUGCAUCUUUUCUUUUUUCUUUUCUUUUGAAUCUUUUUUCUUUUCUUUUGAAUCUUUUUUCUUUCUUUCUUUUUAUAUACAUAUACAUAUAUAUAUUAUUAAAAAAAACAAUUUUUUUACCUUUUCCGGCCACCGUCCACGGUGGCUGACGGUGGUCCGGUGACCGGAUGGUGACCGGUCUUGUGGCCAGAAAUCACCUCACCCCUCUCCCUCUCUCUUUUUUUUUCCUUUUCAAGUGGAAGAAUGAAUUUUUUUGAAGAAAAAAGGGCUUUUUAUAGCCCCCAAAACGACGUCAUUUAGGGGUUGGCCAUUAAACCCCAAAACGACGUCGUUUUGACUUGGACCGGUUCGACCCGACUCGCUCGUCUAGGAUCUGCAUGUUUUUUUAAAGGAAGGGCUAAUUCGCUUUUAGCCCUUCCGCUCUUUAUUGCUUUGCAAUUAAGUCAUUAUUCGUUUUUUUAAUUUGGCCCCGAAAUUUGUCACGAUUUUCAAUUUAGUCCCCGCUGAUGUGCUGAGUUUUGAUGGGGAAGGAAUAUUUUCUGUUUUGGCCCCCUACUGUUUCCGCGCGUGUUCAAUAUAGUCCUUUCCUUUUAUUUUUAUUUCAAUUUUGCCCCAAAUAUUUUGUUUUUAGUUCAAUUUAAUCCUUUUUUAGUUAUUUUACUAUUUAAAUUAAUUAUUUUAGUAUUAUUAUUAUAUUUUAUUUACUUAUGUAGUGUGUUAAUAAUUUUUAUCAUUUCUAAUUGUGUAUAUAUUUUUUUAAUGCAAUUAGUUAUAUAUUUCUUAUACUAUUCCAUGUAUGUAUUUUAUAUUUCUUAUACUAUUCCAUGUAUGUAUUUUAUAUCAUCUUAUGUAUAUAUUCUUAAAUAUUAUUAUAUAUACAUAUAUAUAUUUUUAAAAAUACCAUAUUGUGUAUAUAUUAUUAUUACUAAUUAUUACUACUGCUAGUGUUAUUAUAAUUAUUAUUACAUUAGUGUAUAUUUUAUGUACAUAUAUAUAUUUUUGUACAUAUCAUUAUUUUAUAUUAUUGUUGUAAAUUUUUUUAUGUAUAUAUUUUUUAUGUAUGUUUCCUAAUAUUUUCUUUUAUUGUAGAUAUUAUUACAUACUUUUAUUAUAUGCACAUAUAUAUAUGUAUUUUAAUGUACAUAUUAUUAUUUUAUAUUAUUAUUACCAAAUAUAUCAUUUUUCCUAUUUUAUUAUUAGUACAUGAUUUGUUUUUAUUUUCUUUUUUUUUGUAAAUAUUAUUGUUAUUGUUAUUCUAAUAUUCUAGUAUUCCAUGUUAAUAUUUUUCAUUAAUGAUAUCAUUUUUUGCAUCGUUUAUCUAUUUUUAAUUUCUCACUUUAGGAAUAUUUUUUCUCAUGUUUUAAUUAAUUUCAAUAAAUAAGGCAAUGUUUUGCAUUUUGGAACAUCGAAGAAUUGUGCCCUAACUUACGGGGUUUCGGUUCUCUCGUUGGUUUUAAAUAGCUAAAUAUCCUUUUGAAUUUUGAAAUACACGGAUUUCCAAUUUAAAUUAAAAGACGACCUUGUGCUCGGGAAUUCAUGGUAUUGUGUCCUAACUUACGGGAUGUGAUACUCCGACAUCUCGAGAUAAGGAAAUCUUUAAACAAAUUGAUUUAAGCUAAUUCAAGAAUUUUAAAAUCAGUAUUAAUAGAAAAGAUCGUAUUUCAAGUCCCUUCCCGAUUUUUAAUUUUUGACAUUAGGACACUAACUAAUCAAUUCGUUACCAAUUUUUUGGGUGUGUCAAGGGUGCUAAUCCUUCCUCGCACGUAACCGACUCCCGAACUCAUUCUCUCAAGUUUCGUUGACCAAAGGCCCUAUUUUAGUAAACUAAAAUUGAUUUAUUAAAACAAAGGUGAUCCGAUCACACCUGAUAAAAGAUUGGUGGCAACUCUAGUUUUAAUUUUCACUUUCAAACAAAGUCGAUCCCCGUUUUCAAAAGAAUGGUUUCGACAAUGAUCAUCUUACCACCAUAUUGCUUCAUGGGAAGGAUGUAACACCCCAAACCCGACCCAGACAUUAUGGCCGAAUCUGACGUGCCACAUUGUAGUUAAAAAUCCAUGUCUCAUUUUAGCGUUUUGUAAACCGUCUUUUGUUAAGCUAACAAAGUGAAUGGAAGCUGGGCACCAGGUAGGAAUUCUUAACAGAGGAGGUGAGCCAUGAAGGCUGCUUAAGUACCAAGCUCUUCGAUUGGAUCCAAUCCUAGACAUGCCCACAACCAUUGCCACACUUGGUUAUAUCAAGUUUAAAAUUUAUCUAAGUUGAUAUCUUUGAUAAAUCGAAUAAUCGUGGCGUUGUGUUAUUUUGAAAUCAAGUAUCAUUUUGAAAACACGUCCUAAGUCUAGCCCAUUUAUUAUCAACCAGAUUAAAGUUAUUAAAAAUAAAAUAAUCUAGAAAAGAAAUAAAAGAAAAGUUAAAAUGGCCUUAUUACAAUCCAAAAAUAAAUAAAUAAAGAAAUCUUAAAGAAAACCAAACGCUUAAUUAAAAGCCCAAAGGUGAUCACCGUGGCCACUCUGAAUCCCCUCCGGCUCCAAGUCCCCAUAUCAAGGCUCACCUGCAAGGUUAAGGAAAUGGGUGAAUUUGGAAACUCAGUGUGCAACAAGCCCCUUUCAGAGCCCAAAACAAUAUCAGCCUGCAGGGCCUAAGCCCAAAUCCAAUCUCAACAUAUACUGGGCUGAAGCCUUUUAAUAUUUCAUAUUUGAUAACACUGGGCCGAAGCCUUUUCAUAUUUCAUAUUACUGGGCCGAAGCCUUUAUUGUAAACGGUCUGGCCCAUAGGCCCAUUUCAAUAUCAUAUGCAAUGUCAAUAAAAGAAUGAAUGCAAGCCCAUUUGGGGAGACUACUCAACCCACCAUCCGUUACUCUCCACCCGUACCAACCAAGCUCUCCAUGUGGGGAAUAACUCAACCCACCCAGCCAAAACUCUCCAUUGGCAGCAUAGCUGCUUUAUCAUAUAACUGGAGGCCUAGCCUCUUUUAAUAACUGGUGCAAAAGCCCUUUUAGGUAAACUGGGGCAUAAGCCCUUUUUGGUAAACUGGGGCAUAAGCCAUUUUCGGUAAAUUAGGGCAUAAGCCCUUUUUGCACUUCCUCUAUCCAUAUAAAAACCCAACCCAAUGCAUUAUGAAUACAUCAUGUGCAUAUCAUACAUAUCAUGUACAUAUCAUACAUAUCAUGUGCAUCUCAUAUCAAUCAUGUAUAUCAAAAUCCCAUGUAUCAAAUUCUUAAUUAAACUUUAGGGGUAUAAUGGUCAUUUUCACCUAGGGGCAAAAUAGUCAUUUUCAUAUUAUAAGGGUGAUUCCGUAAUUUUACCAAAUUUAGGGAUUUUUCAUGUUCAUUAUCAGUUACUAACUAUUCAUUUGUUUAAACAGCGAUUCUGGCCCAUUUUUAGCAAAACUGAGUUAUUGGGCCAAAAACCCCUAAUGGGCCCUACACAGCCGAUUUUGUCAUCUAGGCCUAUUUAGCCUAUAGUCCAUAACGGUAUUAACAGUCUUAACAUGCAAGUUAAUAGAUUCCCAUUUUCUACCAAGUUUACCCAAAUGGGCCCGAAAGUCCAUUGGGCCCUAUUUCAACCCUUCGAGGCCCAACUUACCGUGAACGCCAAAAAUCACGCUCUUACCUUUUCCAACGUUCCCGAUCAUCAUCUUAGCGGAUCUAACUAACUAAUGAGCGUUCGUUUGCUCACAAGUCCUCGAAAUGCCAGAAUUUUGGCAUUUCGACUUUUCGGCAUUUAUCGCUUUAAGCUAUGAAAAAGGGUUCGUUACACACCUGAUUUGCGAUAUUCCUCGACUAGAUCUCCUACAUGUUUUCUCCUAUAAUCAACCAUUAAUAGAUCAGCUCACAAUAAUCAACCCAAAUCGAGAACCAUCCAUUGUAGACACUUACACAUUCGGCCACCCUCCAUAAUGGCCUUAGAAACCUUACCUUUGCCGAAAUUGAUGACUAGCUCUAGCCUCUCCGAUGAUCCAAACUAAUCCAAGUCGACACCAUGCCUUGCUACUCCUCUACUAUACAAACCAUAAAAAAAUUUAAAAGAAAACCCAAUAAGACCUUUACUCACAUUCGGCCACCUCCCUAAACUAGAGGGCUUUUGACUUUUGUCAACAGAUAUACUAGGAACCGUUUAGAGUUUGAGCACUUACCACAGUCUCUUCUUCUUGAAUCCAUCUAUGCCUAGAAGAUAAGAGAAUUGACCAUUAAAAAGUGAAAAGAAAUAGAGGGUUGUUGGUCAACAAAGAAUCGGCACCCCUAGUCUCCAUAGAUUUCGACUUUUUGCGGUAUUUCGGCAGAAGUAAAGGUAAGGGAAAGAAACAAUGGGUGAAUGGAGGGAAGUAAUAGGCUGGUUUGGAAGAAGGAAAAAGAAGAUAAGAUGAAAGGGAGAGGGAUGAAUUCGGCUGAAAAAGAAAAAGGGAGAAAAAGACUACACCAAAAAGGAGAAAACGGCACACUCUAAUUCCUAAUGCCAAAAGUGCUACCCUAAAACCCCUCUGCCGAAAUCUCCUCUCCAAUCCCCUCAAAUCAGCUAACUCUAUCCCCCUCUCAAAUCCCUAAAAUCUCUCCCCUUAUCCCUCAUUAAUCCAUGCAUUUGACUGAUUCAAAUUCUCCCCCAAAGAGUUCCAUUCGGCUACAACUCUUUUUAUGCUCAAAGCAUAAAAAUUAGCAUCAUACUUGCCAUCAUAGGGAAUCAACCCCAGGUCUUCCCCCACACUUACACGCCACCUUCUAAGCUCCUUAGUGGUGUCACCUAGCCACUUUACUAUAGGCUCUUUUUGUGAUACAAUUUACCCACAAAUACUAAUAAGACCACCUAUCCAAGGCCCCUAACUUCUUAAGUCCAAAAUUCAAAAAUUCUACUGAGUUUUGGCCAACACAUGGGCCUUCCAUAGGCCCAUUCACAUACUCAAAUUAUGAAUUUCACAACCACAUACCAAAUUUUAGAAACUUUACUAAAAUAUCGAGAAUCGCGAAAAGCCCAAAAAUCAGGAUGUUACAAAAGAUGCGAUCACAUUUGAUGCAAUCUGUAGUGCGUUGUAUAGUUCUGAGACUCGAAAGAAAGAUAAAAGAGAUCACAGAGAUACAACUACAGAAGUCUUAACAGUAAGAGGUCGUUCACGCAGCAGCAAACCUGAUAGGAGGGGAAAGUUUAAAAUGAGACCUGCCAAAGAUGAAUAUGCCUUUUGUCGUGAGAAAGGGCAAUGGAAAAAGAAUUGUCCUAAGUUACAAAAGGGCAAGGCUAUUUCUAUUGCAUGUGUAGCGGAGCAUGAUGAGGAGUCAGACUUUACCUUGGUUGGCAUGGCAAUGGCAUGUCAUACGGAUGAGUGGAUCUUGGAUUCGGGAUGUACUUACCAUAUGUGUCUUAAUAAGGACUGUUUUUCUAGUCUUAAAGAACUAGAAGGUAGAGUUGUUCUUAUGGGCAAUGAUAGUACUUGUAAGACAAUAGGAGUUGGUACAAUCCAAUUGAAGAAUCACGACGGCUCAAUUCAAGUCUUGAUAGAUGUUCGCUACGUACCUAGCUUGAAGAAAAAUUUCAUCUCAUUAGGGGCCCUAGAAUCUAAAGGGCUGACAAUCAUUUUGAGAGAUGGAUUACUAAAGGUAGUAGCCAGAGAAUUGACGGUGAUGAAAGGCACAAGAAGAAAUAACUUGUAUUUUUUAAAUGGAAGUACAGUUAUUGGAUCAACAUCAACAGUUUCUGUGAAAGAUACAGAUUCAGAGGCUACCAGAUUAUGGCAUAUGCGAUUGGGACAUGCUGGUGAAAAAGCUUUGCAGACUUUUGUGAAGCAAGGCUUGUUGAAAGGUGAAAAUUAUUGCAAAUUGGAAUUCUGUGAAAAUUAUGUUCUGGGCAAGUAGAUGAGGGUAAAAUUUGUUCAGCAAUUCACAAUACGAAAGGAAUUCUGGACUACGAUCACAGUGAAGUAUGGGGACCUACCAAAGUGCCUUCUUUGGGAGGUAUGCACUAUUUUGUUACUUUUUGUUGAUGAUUAUUCAAGGAAAGUAUGGGUGUAUCUAAUGAGAAGAAAAAGUGAAGUUUUGGAUGUAUUUCUAAAAUGGAAGAAGAUGGUGGAGACUCUGGCUGGUCGAAAGGUCAAACAACUUCGAUCAGAUAAUGGUACUGAGUACAAAAAUGAUCCAUUUCUACAAGUAUGUCAAGAUGAGGGCAUUGUGUGACACUUUACUGUUUGGGAUACACCACAGCAGAAUGAGCUGGCAGAACGUAUGAAUCGGACUAUACUGGAGAAAGUUUGAUGUAUGUUGUCCAAUGCUGGAUUGGGCAAGGAAUUCUGGGCUGAGGCAGUUACAUAUGUGUACCAUCUAAUUAACCGCUUGCCAUCAGCUGCAAUAAAUGGAAAAACUCCUAUAGAGACAUGGACUGGUAAAUCUGCUACUGAUUAUGAUUCUUUACAUGUUUUUGGUUCCACUGUAUAUUAUCAUGUAAAAGAAUCUAAGUUAGACCUAAGAGCAAAUAAAUCAUUAUUCUUGGGUAUAACUGAUGGAGUAAAAGGAUACAGUCUUUGGUGUCCUGAUACAAGGAAGAUUGUUUUUAGUAGAGAUGUGACUUUUGAUGAAUCAACCAUGUUAAAGUACAAGGAUUUACAAAAGGAUGACAAAACCAGUAGUACUUUGCAGUAGGUGGAGUUUGAAAAGGUUAAUGAUGAUCCAGCUAAUAUUAGAGGGACAAAUGAUGAAAAAGUUCCGACCCAAGAAUCUCUACAGCAAUAAGAUUCAAUUGCAUAUAGGAGGCCAAGAAGAGAGAUUCAUAAGCCUGCUCACUUUGAUGAUAUAGUGGCCUAUGCACUUCCAAUUACAGAUGAUGAUAUUCCUUCUACUUGCACAGAAGCAAUAAGUAAUCCUGAUGGUGUAAAGUGGAAGCAAGCCAUGAAUGAAGAAAUGCAGUCUCUUCAUAAAAAUAGGACUUGGGAGUUGGUGACACUGCCCAAGGGAAAUAAGGCAAUUGGAUGCAAAUGGAUAUAUAAAAAGAAGGAAGGAUUUCCUGGUAAAAAUGAAAUUCGAUACAAGGCUAGAUUGGUAGCAAAGGGUUACACUCAUAAAGAAGGAAUAGACUAUAAUGAAAUGUUUUCUCCUGUUGUGAAGCAUUUGUCUAUUCAGAUUUUGCUAGCCUUGGUUGCUCAAUAUAAUCUUGAACUAGUUCAGCUUGAUGUGAAGACCGCGUUUUUACACGGUGAUUUGGAAGAGGAAAUCUAUAUGACUCAGCCAGAUGGAUUCAAGGUUGCUGGUAAAGAAAAUUGGAUUUGCAAACUGACAAAGUCACUUUAUGGAUUGAAACAAUCUCCAAGGAAGUGGUACAAGCGAUUUGAUCAGUUCAUGAAAGGGCAAAGGUACACAAGAAGUAAAUUUGAUCAUUGCAUGUAUUUUUAGAAGCUACAAGAAGGAACUUUCAUAUAUUUUCUCUUAUAUGUUGAUGAUAUGUUGAUAGCAUCUAAGAGUAAAGUUGAGAUUGAAAGAUUGAAGACUCAACUCAAUCUCGAGUUUGAGAUGAGCUCAUAGUAGAGUUAGCUUGUCUCAGAAGCAGUAUUUGAAUAAGGUAAUACAGCGGUUUAGCAUGAACGAGCAGACAAAACCUGUAAGUAUUCCAUUAGCUUAUCAUUUUAAGCUUUCGGCACAAUUAUCUCAUUCUACGAAUACAGAACGAGAAUACAUGUUGUAAUUUUCGUAUUCUAAUGCAGUGGGUAGCUUGAUGUAUGUAAUGGUGUGUACAAAACCCGACAUUUCACAGGCAGUUAGUAUAGUGAGCAGGUAUAUGCAUAAUCCUGGAAAAGGACAUUGGCAAGCUGUGAAAUGGAUUCUACGGUAUAUUCAGAAGACCGUGGAUGUUGGAUUACUGUUUAAGCAGGAUAAUACACUUGGUAAAGGCGUUAUUGGGUACGCUGAUUCUGAUUAUGCCGAUGAUUUGGACAAACAAAGAUCAACUACCGGUUAUGUGUUUACAUUUUCUGGAGGACCAAUAAGUUAGAAGUCUACAUUACAGUCUACAGUUGCGUUGUCAACCAUAGAAGCCGAAUACAUUGUUGUAACAGAGGCUAUAAAGAAAGCUAUUUGGUUACAAGAUAUGGUUAAAACCUUGAUAUUGGUCCAGGAGCAUAUUAACGUGUAUUGUGAUAGUCAAAGUGCUAUUCAUUUAGCAAAGAAUCAAGUCUACCAUGCACGUACAAAGCAUAUCAACGUACGAUUACAUUUUGUGCGGGAAAUUAUUGAUGAGGGGAAAAUUUAUCUUUAGAAGAUCAAGACUGUAGAUAAUCCCGCAGAUAUGAUGACCAAGGUGGUAACAGCAACCAAGUUCGAACAUUGUUGGAACUUGAUCAAUAUCCUGCAAGUUUAACAGUUGAAGAAGGCACUAUGAAAUAUUGUUGUCAAAGGCAAAAAGAAUUGUGUGAAGAUAAGAUUAUCCUAAUCAAAUCUUCAAGGUGGAGAUUAUUGGCAAAUAUCCAUACUUUGAAAAGUCAAAGAUAUGGAUGUCAGAAUGUUGGAACCGAAAAUAAGAGUAUUUAUGGCACUGAAAUUUGGUUUGAAAUUUGGCAUGGGAUAAUUGUAAUUUUGGUCCCUAAUUGUAUAGGGAUUUUUGCAAGUUGAUCCCUGAACCUCAACUAUAAAUAGGCCUAACCAUUUCUCAUUUUCUUCAUCUCAUAUUUGUUAUUCUUUACUUAAAGCAUUGUUCUCUCUCCCUAUUUGUAAAUUUUAACUUGUAUUUUGGAUUGAAAUAUAUUUGGUAGUGCCUGAGGACAUAGGCAAAAUUUGUUAAACCUCGUUAAAAUUCUGGUGUUCUUUAUUGUUUAUUUUUGCAUAUUUUUGUAACUAUGAUUGUAGUGAUUUAUUGUGCUAUUAAAUUACGAUAGAGGGAUAUUUUGGCUAGGAAAGACUUGGUACUUAAGUGAUCCUCGUGAUCCACCUCUCUUUCCUGGGAAUUGAACUUAGUGUGAUUUUUCAGUACAAUAAUUUUACUCUCUUACCCACUUCUGCGCAAUAGAAAACAUAUUGGAGUCUAGAAAUAGUUUCAUUAAUGAAAAGAGAUCACCUAAGCAAGCAAGUAUUGGUCCAGACAAUUGGUUAUUUGUCAAGAACAAGAAAGCCAAUUUGUUUAGAUGACAUAACUCAGACAGGAUGAAUUCCUCUAACUUAUUGUCCUCAAUAGAAAGACUUUGCAACUCUUCCAAUCCUCCAAUUGUAGUAGGAAUUUGUCCUAUGAAUUUAUUGCCUCCUAGCUCAAUGUCUAUCAAGUGACUUAAGUUUCCAAUUUCACUGGGCAUGCUACCCCUGGUGUUGCAUGAAUAAGCAGAGAACUCUACAAGAGAACUUGAAAGAUUUCCUACCACUCUUGGAAGUUCACCACUAAUAAAUGGGUUGCUAUUGAAAAAAAAGUUCUCCAAGACUCUACAGUUUGUCAAAGAAAAGAGAAAGCUCAUUCCUGAGGAAGUUAAAUUAUUAAUCUUUAGGUGGAGAUACUUUAACUUUCUUAGAUUGCCCAGAUUAUCAGGAAUGGACCCUGAAAAGUAAUUAUUAGACGUGUGAAGAUUAGUAAGCUGAAAGGCAUUGGAAAUAUACAUUGGGAUCGAGCUGACAAAGUGAUUCAAAUCAAGAUAUAAUUCCUCCAUGUAAUUUGGAAGGAAAAGGCCAAUGUUUGAUGGAAGAUGGCCAGAGAGUUUAUUUAUAACUAAAGAAAUUAUCCGUAGAGUUGAAAUAUUAAAUACUUGUGGAGGAAUAGAACCAGCAAAAUUGUUAGCUUCCAAACUCAACAAUAGUAGAUUCUUUAGAUUGCCAAUCUCAUGUGGUAUUAUACCUGCCAUAAAUUUUAUCAAACAAAAAUAUUAGACAAAUAUGGGGAAAAAAGGAGUUUAUAUAUGAAACAUUUGCUUAUUUUUUUUAAACAUUAUAAAAAAAGUCAAAUUAAAUUAUCUAACAAUGUGUAAAAUUAUGGAUAAUUAGUGUAUCAAAUACGAAUCAACAAUGUCGAAACAAUUUUUAUCUUAAAAAAUAGGGAUCGACUUUAAAAUGAGGUAUGGAGUCGCCACCAAUCCUUUUUGUUUAGGUGUGAUCGGAUCACCUAAUAAAGCAUUUUAUUUUAUUAAAAUAUCAAUUUUGGCCUACGAAGUUGAAGAAAACAAGUUCGGGAGUUGGUUACGUACGAGAAAGGAUUAGCACCCUCGUUACGCCCAAAAAUUGGUACCUAAUCGAUUAAAUAAAGUCCUUAUGUCUAAAAUUUCAAAAAAGAUUUUGAAAUACGAUUUCUUGUAAAAACAUUUGAAUAACUCAAAUUGGACGUUAAAGUUCUCUUGUUUCGAAUGAACACAAUAUCACAUCCAGUACGUUAGGAAACAAUAAUUUGGGCAUAUUGGAAACACAGUAUCAAAUUGGACCUUCAGAGUAUUGAUGAAAAGAUUCGUGGUCUCUUUUUCCAGAAGAGGCUGCUGGACUUGUGUUGCUACCUCUCUCCAUCUUUGGGCAUAUUGUCUGAAACUUUCAUUUGGUUUCUUCUCCAUAUUCUUCAAAGUGAUCCUGUCAGGAGUCAUAUCCAUUACUUGGCUAUACUGCUUCAUGAAUGCUUAUGCUAAAUCUCUUCAUGAACUAAUUCUACUUCGACUCAACUGAUUGUACCAUUUAGAUGCUGCACCCACCAAACUAUCUUGGAAGCAAUGAAUUAGCAAUUGAUCAUUAUUAACAUACCUAGUUAUUCUUAUGCAAAACAUGGUGAUAUGAGCUUCAGGACAACUUCUUCCAUUGUUCUUCUCGAAUUCUGGCAUCUUGAACUUGUAUGGAAAUACUAAGUCUGGGACCAAACUCAGAUCCUUUGCAUCAAUUUCAGGAUGUAUAUCAGCGCUUUCCAUUGCCCUGAACUUUUCCUCCAGCCAUUUACACCGUUCCUCUAAUUAUUUCUAUGAUUCUAUCCUUGCCCUUUCCUCUUUCGUAACUUCAUCCAAAUCAGGCAGAACUGGAUUAUUCAAGUUAUUACCAGGGUUAAAGCCUGAACCAGCUUGGAAAUUCAUUGGUAUUGAAACUCUGGCUUGAAACUAUUGAGGCCCGAUCGUAACAGAUGGUUUCUAUAGAUUUAUCUUAGGUUGUGUUUGUACAUGUGUUGGAGUGAAACCAGGAGGAUAUUGAGGGUCUUCAUUAUUUUCCCCAACAUUGUCCAUAGGAUCUUUCCACUUAUCCAUUCUUCCUACCUGCAACUGGGACAAUUAAGUCAUCAUGUUUCUUUGGGACUCCAUCAUUUGAUCCUUCAUCUCUUGCUAGAUCUUAGCUAGCUGCUAUUGCAUUUGCAUUUGUAACUGGUCUUGCAUUUCUAUUUGAAGUUGUUCAAGUCUUUCCAAUAUUUGGUCCAUAUCUUUUGUCUUAGCAUGUGUACCGUAACGAUACUUGGUUGGUAAGUUUCUAUCGAUUUCCAGAUUAACUAAAAUGAUUUCAAUUAAUUAGGGUCCUUUUGUGAAAAUCUAAUGCAAAUGAUGCAAUAAUGCAAUGCAAAUGUAUAGAAUGAAUGCAAAAGAAAGAAAGGCGUUGAUUUUGAAUUCAAUUCCAUUAGAACAACUUUUCUAGAAAAACAAAUUUCUUUACAUAAAAUGGAUUACAUAUGCGGCCUUGCUUUGAUAUUCCACUUGAAGACACCGAUCCCUUUUCUUCAUAAAAUUCAAAUCUCGCAAGCUUUCAAUAAAUGCCUCCGCUGGCUCAUUUUUGCUUGAUCUAGGCCGCGACUUAUUAUCCUCGUGAUGUUGAUUAGCUCCUUUAAGAAAUUCAGGAUACGACAGCUCUCAAACAAUCUUUAUUAGCUUGAAUCCUCGGGCAAAGUCUUGUUUUCCUCUACGAACUAUCAGGCUUCUUUCGUUGUGUUUACUGGGACCAUAUUCAGACAACCGUAUUAUAAUCCACUUUAUCAAGAAAUCUAUUUUCUCAUGAUAAACUUUUCUAUUUAGCAAUCAAAUAUGAAUCAACACCUCAUUUCUAUGAUGAUGUAAUGCAGUGCAGUCAUAAACAAAACAAAACACAUUAGUACAGAAGAAAUAAAUAACAAAUAAAGUACCUAUUCGGGUGACCACUAAAUUUGGGCACAGUUCUACCUAAGGUGAACUCUCAAGGUUCACUAUAUGUGGCUCGGUUCUAAAGAAAGGGUACCUGAACCAACAGAUUCCUCAAUCCUCACCCAUUAUAAGCUCAUCUGGAUCAAGUUUAGUUCAUGGGAAUACAUUUUCCUAUGACCAUGUGGAGAUGAAAAUCUCACGAAGACAUAGGUACGAAUGUAUCCCGGAAGUAAUCCACUAGCCCAUGCGGAGGUGAAAACCUCACGAAGGCAUAGUUUUUCACUUCCACUUAAAAUGUGUGACCACAACGGUCAUGUAAUGCAAUGCAAUAGUCUACAAGACUCAAACCACACAAUCAUACAAACAAAUGCAACAAAGAAUCAUGAUUUUUCAAAUCAAAAUUUCAAAUUUCAACAAAAGGACAGAAAAUAAUCAAUUUUACGGCCUGACUCUCUUAUUGUUCCCUAGUGGAGUCGUCAAGCUGUCGAAAUCAUUUUUUAUUUUGAAAAACAGGGAUCGACUUUAAAAUGAGGUAUGGAGUCGCCAACAAUCCUUUUUGUUUAGGUGUGAUCGGAUCCCCUAAUAAAUCAUUUUAUUUUAUUAAAAUAUCAAUUUCGGCCUACGAAGUUUAAGAAAAUGAGUUCGGCAGUCAGUUACGUAUGAGGAAGGAUUAGCACCCUCAUUACGCCUAAAAAUUGGUACCUAAUCGAUUAAAUAAAGCCCUUAUGUCUAAAAUUUUAAAAAAGAUUUUGAAGUACGAUUUCUUGUAAAAAUAUUUGAAUAACUCAAAUUGGACGUUAAAAUUCUCUUGUUUCAAACGAACACAGUAUCACAUCCAGCACAUUAGGAAACGAUCCUUUAAACCCUCGAAACCAUAAUCAAUUCUUGAUUUACAAGAGCUCAUACAUUUGAAAAUUACAAAAGGAUAUCCGAUUAUUUGGUCCAGCGAAAAACCAAAACCCAACACGUUGGGGCACGAUUCUCGUAUUUCCAAACAUGGAACAUUGCCUUGUUCUAAAAUUUAGAAAUCGUGAAUGAAGUUUUAAAGGGAUAUUUGAUUAUUUUAGAUAAACGGAGAAUCGAAACCUAGCACGUUAGGACGCGAUUUCCCGAAUCUCCAAACAUCAAACAUUGCCUUUAUUUAGGAAACUUUCAAAUAAACAAUUGUAAAGUCAGUUCAAAAUGCAUUAGUUUGACUUGAAAUAAAAUGGAAUCAUUAAUUUAGGAUUACUAAGUUGAAGAUUUCAAUUGCAAUUUGACACUCGUGAAUGAAAAGGCAAAACUAUAAGCAUGAAACAAUAUACAUGGAUCAUAAGUGAAAAUAGUAUAGAAAUAAGAAAAGAGCAAAUUAAGAUACACACAAUAGCAAUAAGUUCAUAUCGUACAUUAUGCAAAUACUAACGUUAACUUCCAAUGACUUGCAAAUCAAAGAAUCGAUUUUUAAAAGAAAUAUAAAGCCAAUAAACACAAAUAAAAUGCCUCAAGUUUUAAAACAAUGAUAAAUAAGUUUGAAAUCAAUAAUGUGAAAAAAUAAAACAUUUGAAAUAAUAAUACACAUAAUAAUUCAAAAUUAACUUAUAUAUAUAAUUUUAAAAUAAGUAAUAAACAUGAAAGUUUGAAUUAGAUCAAAAAGAUAAAAUAAAUAAAAUAGUAUAUAAAUGGAUUUUAAAACAAAUAUUAAAAGAAGAAAAUUAAGUAAUAUACCAAACAAAAUAUGUCAAUCUAAAUAAAUAAUAUAUAUGAAAUGGAAAACUUAAUAUAAAUAAUGUAUAUAUAAAAAAAUAAUAAUAUAUGAAAUGGUUUGAAAUAAACAAGUAUAUAUAUAUUAAAAUUGGGUCUUUAAAGCAUUAAAUUAUAUAUAUAUAUAGAUAGAUAGAUAGAUAGAUAGAUAGAUAGAUAGAUAGAUUUGAAGAAAUAAAACAUAUAGGCAAGUUUAAUGGGAAAUUUGAGCAAACAAUUUAAUAUAAAUUACGUAAAUAUCAAUGUAUAAAAAUAAAUAUCAUUUAAAACACAAAAUUAUAUAAAAGAGAAUUUUGAAAUAGACAAGUUACAAAAUAGAUAAUUAAAAAAAUGUAUUCACAUGAAAGCAUAAAGAUAAUGAACUAAUCUAAUGUAAACAUCAAUGAAAUGGCUAAAAAUAAUAUAUUAAAAUAAUUUCUUUUUUGAUAAAUGAAUAAUAUGUAACACCCCAAACCCGGCCCAAAAGUUAUGGCCGGAUCCGACAUGCCACAUCAAAAAUGUUAAAAAAAAAAUUUUCCAUUCUAAGUCCAGAAAAUCGUACUUGAUGUUCAAAAGAUUAAUUCAUUAAGGGUUAAAGUGAAUGGAAACUGUGCACAAGGUAGGAAACCGGAAAAGAGGUGGUGAGUCCAUCGGACUGCUUAAGUACCAAGCUCCCUUCGGAUCCAAUCCUAGACAUGCAUACCGCCAUUGCCACACCUUAACGUCAUGGAUAUUUCUAGGAAACCGAUUUGAUUAAGUCAUUUUUAGGAAAAGUGAUUAAUUUUGGAAAAAUACUUUCAUUGCGGAAGCUUUGCUUGUUGUCGUGUUAUUUUGAAAUCAACUGUUGUUUUUGAAAACGCGCCCUAAAGCUAUCCAAUUUCAACAGUUAAAAUAAGUAUUACCUAUCUUAGUAAUACAUAUUAAAACCAUCAAAAAUAAUUAAGCGGCCUUAUUACAUUUAAAAACCUAAAACUUCAAACUUAAAUAAAAGGAUGUCCAGUUCACCAAAAGAAAAUCAAACUUUCAGAACGGGUGGCCACUCCGAAUUCCCUCACAGCUCCAAGCCCACUAUGGUUGGGGAUUUCCUGCGUGGAUGAAAAUAAAAGGGGUGAGUUUGGGGAAACUCAGUGUGUAAGGAAAACCCAUUCAAAGCCCAAGUUAGCUCAAGCCCAUUGGGCCUAAGCCCAUUCAGGUAACAGUGGUACUGGGCCAGAGCCCUUUUCAGAUUACAAUAAACUGGGCCUUAGCCCCUUAUUCAGAUAAUAGUAUGGCCCAUAGGCCCAUUUCAAAAUACAUGCAACAUCAGUAAACAUAUGCAAGCCCAUUUGGGUAACAGUGGUACUGGGCCGAGCCCUUUUCAGAUUACAAUAAACUGGGCCUUAGCCCCUUAUUCAGAUAACAGUAUGGCCCAUAGGCCCAUUUCAAAAUACAUGCAACAUUAGUAAACAUAUGCAAGCCCAUUUGGGGAGACUACUCAACCCACCAACCACUACACUCCACCCGUACCAGCCAUACACUCUAUGUGGGGAAUAGCUCAACCCACCCAGCCCAACACUCCACAGUUGCAGCCUUGCUGCUCAGUUAACAGUAAAUUGAGGCAAAGCCUCCAGUACGUGGACAAGCCACUUUCAAUACUUCCUACGUCAAUAUCCCAGUCUCAUGCAUCAGAUAAUAACAACAUGGCAUGCAGUAAAUAACAACAGUCAAACAUGCAUUUAGGUCAAUUUAACCCUAGGGGUAUUUCGGUAAUUUAUCUCCUAGGGGUAAAACUGUAAAUUUUUCACUUUUAAAGGUAUUUCAGUAAUUUAUCUAUUUUAGGGUUUUUCAUGCAUAUUCCUACCUUUCACGUACUAACAGAAUCACGACCGAGGGUUCUUACCGAAUUGGGCCCGUUGGCCCAUCAUUCCAAUUUUGGCCCAUUAAGCCCAAAAAUAUCGAGGGCACAGAAAUCAUGCACUUUGCAGUCCAAACAUUGCAGCUUACCAAAAACAUUAAUCGAUUUACCUCACGAGCAUUCGCACACUCGCAAAUCUACAAAAUACCGGUUUUCGGCAUUUCGGAUUUUCGGCUUUUGCCGAUCUAGACUAAGAAAGAGGGUGUUAGUUACACACCUGUUUGCGACGAUAUGCUGACGAGAUCCACACACGAACUGCCUUCAAUUGGAUUACUAGCACGUUAAUCUAACUAUUCAAAUACAAACUACGUAUUAACCCCUUAUAAUAUUCGGCCAACCACACCUACAGAUCAUAGUAAGCUUAUAAGAAAUCAAUAAGCAACUCAUUAAUAAAUUUUUGUCAAUGUUUACCACAUAAUCAUAAUUUCACUGCAAGCUGUCUUCCUGAGCAACAGUCACUAAAUUAUUUAUAACUGGAGCUACGAAACUCUAAAUCAAGUUCCGUUAAUUUUCCCUGAAAAUAGACUCAUAUAUCUUAUAUCCAUAAAAUUUUCAGAAUUUUUGGUUUAGCCAAUCAAUACCAGAUUUUUCUCAAAGUUUCCCAUGUUUCACUGUUUGACUAAUCUGACCACUCUUCAUUACGAAUCAAAUUUAUCAUUGUAAAGAAUUCAAAAUAUGUUCUUGUUUAUUUCAUUAGAAACUAGACUCAAUAAGAUUUAAUUACAUAAUUUAUUCAGCUUCUAAUUCAUCUCCCACAAUUUAUGGUGAUUUUCCAAAUUCAAGUUACUGCUGCUGUCCCAAGCAGAUUUAUUACCAAAUCACUCUUUCACACAUACCUUGCAUGCAUGUUAUUUAAACAUGUAUAUCACCAAUCAAUCAUCACAUAUCUAUGAUUUUACUUAAGAAUAAUCUCCAUUUCAUCAUUUUAAAGCACAGCAUGUUAGCUGAUUUUUCCCUUUAACAUCUAAGGCACAUGCAUGCUCAUUUGUUUGGCUCAACUUCACCUAUCUUCCAUUUUUUUUCAUCAAAAGAACAUGAAACAACAACCAUUUCCUUCAUUUUAAUUCAUGACUAAAUGCUCACAACACAACUAAAAACCAAAAUAUGCUUCAAGAGUUAAGGUAGAAUCAAGAAGAACUCAUGAACAUCAAGAUAGAAGCCAACUACCAUGAACUUACCUUCAAUUUUCUUCCCCAAGUGACCGAACACUCAAGAGCUUUCUCCUCUCCUUUCUCUUCUCUAACUUUCAGCUAUGAUGAACAAAGAUGGACAAAACUUUGUUCUUUUCACCCCUUUUUCUUUUAAUAAAACUUCAUAUUUCAUCCAUUUAAUUCUUUAAUACAAAAGACAUGAAAUUCUUAUCAUGAAACAUUUACCUAACCCAUUAUCAUGAAACAUUUACCUAACCCAUUAUCAUGGAACAUUUACCUAACCUAUUAUCAUGGAACAUUUACCUAACCUAUUAUCAAUUUGUAUCAAUUUGUACCAUAAAUUAUGGAUAUCAAGUGCACAUUUUGUCUACAACAACAUGAUGGCUGGCCACUUCAUGUAAAAUGGGAGGUUUGUCAUGCAAAUCCUCCUAUUUUGCACUCCUAUUUAUUUGGUCACUUCAAUUUAGCCUAUAGCAUUUUCAAACAUUUUCACAUAGGUCCUAUUUCAUAAUUUCACUCACAAAUAACAAAAUUAAAGCAUGAAAUUUUGCCAACAUUCACAAAAUUCUCGAAAAUUAGGGCGUUACAUAAUAAAUAAAUUAAAGAGAGUAAAGAAUCACAUUAUACUAAUAAAAACUCAAUUGAAACAAAAACAGAAUCAAAAGGAUAAUUUAUAAAUAAAUCCAAUAUGAAAACAGAAUUAAAGACCAGAAUUAAAUAUGCACAAACAAACAGGGACUAAAAAUGCAAAUGUCCUGAGUCCCUAAAACGCGGCCCUUAGGUGCGGACUAACUUGAAAUAGCAUGCAAAUAUCUAGGCAACAUUAAGAAAAAAAAAAGAAAAUACAAACAGGGUCUAUUCAAAUGAUAGCGCAAAAGGGAAAGACCAAUCGCGAAAUAACCCUCAAAGACCAAAACACGCGGGUCUGACCGUGCAUCGGUCGGGUCAUUGGGUUUCAUCAUGAAACGACGCCGUUUCAACUCCAACACUCCAGGCAUAAAACAUCACUGUUUUAAACAUAUAUAUAAACUAAAACUUUGCCCUAAAACAUUCAUUUGGUCGAUCUUUCAAAAAAAUCUUCGUAAAUAUUUCACAAACCCUUCUUCCUCUCAGUCCAUCCGCGGGCUUCAUCGGUGCCGAAUGUGCCUCCACCAUCGACGCAAUUUUAAUCAGAUCCCUAAGGAUCUAACAACCCUUGGACCGGAGAAGCGAGCAAUGAAUAAAUCGACCCCGAAUCUAGUAAGAAAACCCUUUCCCCUCUUUUUAUAUUUGCAUGAUAGAUUCACAAUAGAGAAAGAAAUAAAAAACAAAAAAGUAAAGGCCAAAAUUGAUGAACGAAUCACCUUAGAGUAUAUUUGCUUACUGUAUUCAAAUGCUAUCUAUGCGUAAUACGUGAAAAAAAAAGAAGAAAAAAAUGAGAUUUCAAAUCACCUCUUGAAAACUGUUUUUUUAUUAACUUUUGGUACCGAUUUGUGUGCACUCCUUCCCUUACAAUGAAAAAUGUUUAUGGAUUUAUAGCCGAAUGAUUACAGUUUUUUCAUUUUUGUUAUUUUUGCUGCUAUUUCGUGCUAUUGCAUGUCCUUUCCUUGCAGGUACAAGAUCGGAUGCAAGCGUGGCAUGCUGGUACGCAAAAGUGGAGGCCGUACGGAGGUGGCUAGGGUUGCGGCACUCUUUGCUGCUAGGGUUUGCUGUUUGGCUAAACCUAGGUUUAGGUUUUGGG